rnacentral:rRNA from 1 species
UCGAGAAUAGUCUACAAUGGUCGAAAGACUGAUAGUGCGACGCCGCGUGAAUGAAGAAGCCCUUCGGGGUGUAAAAUUCUUUUAUAUGUGAGCAGUGUUUGUUAUAUAAAUAGUAUAAUGAAAGAGAUAUUAGCAUAUGAAUAAGCAACGGCUAACUCCGUGCCAGCAGCCGCGGUAACACGGGGGUUGCAAGCGUUGUCCGGAAUUACUAGGCGUAAAGGGCAGGCAGGCGGAUCUAUAAGUUUCUUGUUUAAGGCGUCAGCUUAACUGGCGUACGGCAGGAGAUGCUGUAGAUCUGGAAUGCGGUUGGGGAAGACAGAAUUCCUGGUGUAGCGGUGGAAUGCGCAGAGAUCAGGAGGAAUACCAAAGGCGAAGGCAGUCUUCCAAGCCGUGAUUGACGCUAAACUGCGAAGGUGUGGGUAUCAAACA